GACGAAGGGGGCUAGCGUUGUUCGGAAUUACUGGGCGUAAAGCGCGUGUAGGCGGUUGUUCAAGUCGGGUGUGAAAGCCUUGAGCUCAACUCAAGAAAUGCACUCGAUACUGGAUGACUUGAGGACCGGAGAGGAUAGUGGAAUUCCCAGUGUAGUGGUGAAAUACGUAGAGAUUGGGAAGAACACCAGUGGCGAAGGCGGCUAUCUGGACGGUUUCUGACGCUAAGACGCGUAAGCGUGAGGAGCAAACAGG
rnacentral:rRNA from 1 species